rnacentral:rRNA from 1 species
UGAGGAAUAUUGGUCAAUGGGCGCGAGCCUGAACCAGCCAAGUCGCGUGAGGGAAUAAUGCCCUAUGGGUUGUAAACCUCUUUUGUCAGGGAGCAACACCGCCACGUGUGGCGGCUUGAGAGUACCUGAAGAAAAAGCAUCGGCUAACUCCGUGCCAGCAGCCGCGGUAAUACGGAGGAUGCAAGCGUUAUCCGGAUUUAUUGGGUUUAAAGGGUGCGUAGGCGGAGCGUUAAGUCAGCGGUAAAAUCGUGGAGCUCAACUCCAUCCAGCCGUUGAAACUGGCGCCCUUGAGUGAGCGAGAGGUAUGCGGAAUGCGUGGUGUAGCGGUGAAAUGCAUAGAUAUCACGCAGAACCCCGAUUGCGAAGGCAGCAUACCGGUGCUCAACUGACGCUGAGGCACGAAAGCGUGGGGAUCAAACAGG